UACGUAGGUGGCAAGCGUUGUCCGGAUUUACUGGGCGUAAAGAGCGCGCAGGCGGUCGAAUAAGUCUAAUGUGAAAGCCCCCGGCUCAACUGGGGAGGGUCAUUCGAUACUGUCCGACGUGAAGGCAGGAGAGAGAAGCAGAAUUCCCGGUGUAGUGGUGAAAUGCGUAGAUAUCGGGAGGAAUACCAGUGGCGAAGGCGGCUUCUUGGCCUGUUCUUGACGCUGAGGCGCGAAAGCUGGGGGAGCAAACGGG
rnacentral:rRNA from 1 species